ACCUCAACAUCACUAUAUAGUCAGUGAUGACGUAUUUCUGAUCUGCCUCUCUACCUCCUAAUGCUGAGAUUAUAGGCUUCAACCACUGUUCUAGACCUCCUAUCAGUGUUGUUGUUGUUUUUUUUUUCUUUUCUUUUCUUUUUUUCAGAGCUGGGGACCAAACCCAGGGCCUUGCGCUUGCUAGGCAAGCACUCUACCACUGAGCUAAAUCCCCAACCCCUAGUGUUGAUUUUUUAAAUUAUAUUUUAGUAUGGGUGUUUAGCCUGCAUGAAUGCCUGUUUACCAUCCUUGUACAUGUGCCUAUAGAGGUUCAGGAAGGUUUGGAUCACCUGGAACUUGAAUUACAGAUAGUUGUGAACUACCAGAUGGGUGUCCUGUGGAAGAACAGCCAUCUUUCCAGCCCAAAGUUUUAUUUCAUUUACUUACUUUUGAGACAAAGAAUUACUAUGUAAACCAGGCUACACAAAGAUUCCCUUGCUUCCACCUCCUGAGCUGGGAUUGAAGGUGCACCACCACCAACUCUCAUCACUGGUUUGACUACGGCAGCUCUAACCCUAUCGAGAUCUUUAUCUAGAUCAUUACCGCCCCCUCAAUUUUUUAAAAAUUCAACUGUUUUUCCCAGUUGAGUCUUUUCUCCCAUACUAGAGUUCUUAUGUCUUCAUCUCAACAAAAUAAAAAGAAAUAAAACACAUCAUUCCUUUUUCUCUGACAAAGCCAGUUUCCAAAAGCAUUUUAUGACGUUCCCAUUUCUUUCUCUUCUCCAAACUAUUGGAAUGUCUGUCAACUAUCACCAAUCCCCAGUUAUUAAAUUCAAAAGAUAUUUCUCAGACUUCUUUUAUCUCUUAAGCUAUUUCUUUUAAAUAUUUUUUUUUUAUUCCUUAGAUUGCCAGCAUUUUGCUUUACUCUUAGAGGUGCGUGGAAGAAUUCUUGGGGCAAGUGGUUUAAAACCCUCCAGUAACUCAAUGGCCAUAAAAACGAAUUCUAGGUUUAACAUUCCAAAACCUACAAGACCUUUAAAGAUCUAGUUUUCUCCUUAGUUUGAUCCCCAGCCCUGGUGGUGAUGGUCUCAGGGAUAAAAGAGCUUUUCCUAUUUCAGAGUACAAUGGUUUGGGAAAGAAUGGAUCUCACUAGGUUGUCAGUCCGGCUUUACAUUCCAGAGGUCAAGUGAUCCUCCAGCCUCAGCCUCUAAUAGCUUGAGGACAACACGGUAUGAGCUACCAUGCCUUCAUUUUCUUUUGUCUCAGAAAGUGAACUCUUAAGCUUCUAACGAGAGUAAAUUUCAAGAAACUUCCAGAAGGCGCCGUGUUGUUGUUCCCAAAGCCUGGAAAACUCUUAUCUC
rnacentral:lncRNA from 1 species